UUGUCUCAAAGAUUAAGCCAUGCAUGUCUCAGUACAAGCCAAAUUAAGGUGAAACCGCGAAAGGCUCAUUAAAUCAGUUAUGGUUCCUUAGAUCGUACAUUAUUUACUUGGAUAACUGUGGUAAUUCUAGAGCUAAUACAUGCAUACUGAACUCCGACCGGCAACGGAAGGAGCGCUUUUAUUAGAUCAAAACCAAUCGGUGGCGGUUCGCCGUCAUCGUACAAUUUGGUGAAUCUGAAUAACUUUAAGCUGAUCGCACGGUCUUGUACCGGCGACGCAUCUUUCAAAUGUCUGCCUUAUCAACUGUCGAUGGUAGGUUCUGCGCCUACCAUGGUUGUAACGGGUAACGGGGAAUCAGGGUUCGAUUCCGGAGAGGGAGCCUGAGAAACGGCUACCACAUCCAAGGAAGGCAGCAGGCGCGCAAAUUACCCACUCCCGGCACGGGGAGGUAGUGACGAAAAAUAACGAUACGGGACUCAUCCGAGGCCCCGUAAUCGGAAUGAGUACACUCUAAACCCUUUAACGAGGAUCAAUUGGAGGGCAAGUCUGGUGCCAGCAGCCGCGGUAAUUCCAGCUCCAAUAGCGUAUAUUAAAGUUGUUGCGGUUAAAAAGCUCGUAGUCGAACUUGUGUCCUGCUACGACGGUUCAUCGUUCGCGGUGUUAACUGGCGUGCAGCAGGACGUCCAGCCGGUGGGCAAAAGCUCUUUGAGCUUCGCCCCCAAUCAGUCCCGUCGCGGUGCUCUUUAUUGAGUGUCGCGGUGGGCCGGCACGUUUACUUUGAACAAAUUAGAGUGCUUAAAGCAGGCUAAAAUUUCGCCUGAAUAUGUGUGCAUGGAAUAAUGGAAUAGGACCUCGGUUCUAUUUUGUUGGUUUUCGGAACCCCGAGGUAAUGAUUAAUAGGAACGGAUGGGGGCAUUCGUAUUGCGACGUUAGAGGUGAAAUUCUUGGAUC
rnacentral:rRNA from 1 species